rnacentral:rRNA from 1 species
UCCGGGGGGAGCGAUCGUUGUUCGGAAUCACUGGGCGUAAAGCGUGCGCAGGCGGUUUUGUAAGUCAGGAGUGAAAUCCCGGGGCUCAACCUCGGAAUUGCUUUUGAAACUACAUGACUAGAGUAUGGUAGAGGUUGGGAGAAUUCCUAGUGUAGAGGUGAAAUUCGUAGAUAUUAGGAGGAAUACCAGUGGCGUAGGCGCCCAACUGGACCAUUACUGACGCUUAGGCACGAAAGCGUGGGGAGCAAACAGG